CCCCGGACUCACGUCCGGGGCUACCACUUGUCGUCGCGUUGCGACU
rfam:Rhodopirellula maiorica SM1 cSM10039, whole genome shotgun sequence.